ensembl:lncRNA
CUCGUGCUGUUCCUGCUCUCCUCCUGCACAGCAGUGCCGGGGCUGGAACCGCUGUGCAGCUCAGCAGCGCUCUUAUAGGCAGCGUCAGGAGGAGGGCAGUGCUGGGAUCGCAGAUAGCGCUGCUCCACAAACAGCCCCGUGCAAAGUGCUGCAGGAGCCGCUGUGCUGAGCCACUGCUGGAACAACGACGGGAGUAGGCAAAAGGAAUGCGGAGCUGUGAUGGAGACCGCUGUGCCGGGUGCCGUGAGACAAGCUGCAAGCAACUGCCAGUCAUGAGAAGCGUGCCUUGUGUACUUAGCAUGUUAUUUGUACCGCUCUAUAUAAGCGGCUGGGUGCAGUUAUUACACGGCUUGGCUGCUAGAAACCACAACGGUGUGUGGCCUCGUCCACGCCGCGCCUUGGCUGAAUAUUGCUCUCCAGAGGACUCUGAACAGUCACUCGGUGACAAGUGGUGCCCAAACGGGGACUUUGGAGUAAGAACCAUCAGAAAAGGACCUUGGAGUAAGAGGGAGACGAGGCAGCGGUCGCAGAUGGAUGGCACCGGACAAGCAACAGUGCUGUAAGUGUCACGGUAGCUGGAAGCGGGGUCCCUCCCUGCCCUCUGCCCCCACGAUAGAGUGGGAAGCUACAGAGAAACCGCUCCUAACUAUCCUCUCUAAGAAAGGGGAGCAAGUGUCUCCUAAAGGCCCGUCGGAGCUGGUAAAAUGGGCUCGAUGACUUGAAUACCUCAUGGAGGUGGCACUGAUGUUCGGUGCUUCAGAAUGGCGUGAUAUAGGAGAUCAUACGUGGGACUGUGUGAUAUCUGGGGGGAAGGACGAGGAGUUGCUGAAGCCUCUGGGACCGGUGUGGCGUGCUGCUGCCAACACCUUGAAGGCCAUACGAGCCCCCGCUGUACGGCCACCCGCAGCCUCCCCUGGCCCGAGCCCGGACCGCGCCACAGCCGCCUCCACCCGGUGCUCUCCAUGGCAGUGCAGGGCUUCCAGGGCUACACUGAGAAGCACUGCCCUACACCGUGAUGCCCAUCGAGCUGCAGAAGCUGGCGUGGGGCAGCCUGUUGGGGGGGGGGGGGGGGCCUCAGCAGACCCCGCUGUGCCUCAUCGAUGCCAACAGCUCUCUGCCCCGGCUCUACAGCGGCUUCUACACAGUCUGGGAUGCUCCACUGAACUGAUUGCUGGAUGAAAUGUCUCGCUGCCUUGGGAUCCCCAGGAACCGUAACUUAUGGGGUCGCAGGCGAUAGGGAACACGUCACAGAAUUGGACCCAGACCUGCUUUGUAUUCAGUAAUACCCAGCAGGGCCUAAAUCCUUAUAAAGGGCUGAAUUGGACCUCUUGCACUACUGUAUCUAGCCGUGGCAAAUUUACUUACGGGAUGCUUGUGAUUACUGUGGCACCAAUACAUCAAGAAGACAGGUUUGGCUGCCUAUGGCGCAGCUGCAAAUGGUAACAACUCGACUAUAUGGUGCAAUGGCUCUGCGAAGGCAUUGCCUCCGGACAUCUUUUUGGUCUGUGGAGACAGAGCGUGGCAGGGCAUCCCCAGCCAGGAGACAGGUGGACCCCAUUCCUUAGGAAAAUCAACUCUGUUUGCUCCUACCUUUGAGCAGCUUUGAAACAUUACUCUCUAACCGCUCUGAUCGCAUGAAGCGUGCUCUGCUAACCCCUGAAUGUGAGCAUCCCACGGAGCUUUUCUCGCUUGCUGCAAGGGUUGCACUCUCCUUUCUCAAACAGCUUCUGCUUGACCAGAACAGCUUACGGCAUGCCUUGCUACAGAAUCGCACUGCCAUAGAUAUUCUGUUAUUAGCUCAAGGUCGCGGGGUGGCUGAGUGGCCUCGUCAAGGAGGGCCUUCGUCUCCUGAUGUUGCUGGCGGUGGGAAUCCUCAUAGUUUGCUCUGUUACUGCUGUUGUUAAGAAAAUGCUCUCAAAGGUUACCUCGGCUGUUUUGUUUGUGCAAGAAAAGAGCGGGGGAAGUGUGGAUGGACGGCUGACCCAGGGAG